rnacentral:rRNA from 1 species
UACGUAGGUGGCAGGCGUUUGUCCGGAAUUAUUGGACGUAAAGCGCGCGCAGGCGGCCUCUUAAGUCUGAUGUGAAAGCCCCCGGCUCAACCGGGGAGGGCCAUUGGAAACUGGGAGGCUUGAGUAUAGGAGAGAAGAGUGGAAUUCCACGUGUAGCGGUGAAAUGCGUAGAGAUGUGGAGGAACACCAGUGGCGAAGGCGACUCUUUGGCCUAUAACUGACGCUGAGGCGCGAAAGCGUGGGGAGCAAACAGG